UACGUAGGAGGCGAGCGUUAUCCGGAAUGACUGGGCGUAAAGGGUGCGUAGGUGGUUUGACAAGUUGGUAGCGUAACUCCGAGGCUCAACCUCGGCACUACUACCAAAACUGUCGGACUUGAGUGCAGGAGGGGCAAUUGGAAUUUCUAGUGUAGCGGUGGAAUGCGUAGAUAUUAGGAAGAACACCGGAGGCGAAGGCGGCUUACUGGACUGUAACUGACGCUGAGGCUCGAAAGCGUGGGGAGCAAACAGG
rnacentral:rRNA from 1 species